rnacentral:rRNA from 1 species
UACGUAGGGUGCAAGCGUUGUCCGAAUUAUUGGGCGUAAAGAGCUCGUAGGCGGUGUGUCGCGUCGGUCGUGAAAACUUGGGGCUUAACCCUGAGCUUGCGGUCGAUACGGGCAUCACUGGAGUUCGGCAGGGGAGACUGGAAUUCCUGGUGUAGCGGUGAAAUGCGCAGAUAUCAGGAGGAACACCGGUGGCGAAGGCGGGUCUCUGGGCCGAUACUGACGCUGAGGAGCGAAAGCGUGGGGAGCGAACAGG